CGACGAAGGCUUGUCUGCAACAGAAAUCCGAAAGGAAUUCAUCCAUAAUGGAAGCUUGAGCGAAGGCUUACGGUGGAAAUUCGGCAUGGACCGCUCGUGGUAGAAAUUUGAAGUAGAUCAUUUACAGCAGAAACUCGGAGUGGGUCACUCGCAGUAGGAGCUCGGAGUUCGGCUCCCGUAGGAGUCCAGACGAAGUCUUCCUGUAGUCGAAGUCAGGGACGAAGUCUGGCUCCCGUAGGAGUUCGGACGAAGUCUACAUGCAAUUGAAGUCGGGGGCGAAGUCCGGCUCCCGUAGGAGUCCGGGCGAAGUCCUCCUGUAGCCGGAGUCGGGGACGAAGUCUGACUCCCGUAGGAGUCCGGGCGAAGUCUACAUGCAAUUAGAGUCAGGAGCGAAGUCCGGCUCCCGUAGGAGUCCGGACGAAAUUUAUCUGCAAUUAAAGUCAGGGGCAAAGUCUGACACCCAUAGGAGUCCGGACGAAGUUUACCUGCAAUUAAAGUCAGGGGCGAAGUCCGGCUUUCGUAGGAGUCCGGGCGAAGUCCACCUGCAAUUGAAGUCGGGGGUGAAGUCCGGUUCCCGUA
rnacentral:lncRNA from 1 species